GGCGGGGUGGCAGAGUGACUAUGCCACAGUGUGCAAAGCUGUGUAGGCCGGUUUAAAUCCGCGCCCCCGCCUCCA
rnacentral:tRNA from 2 species